AAUCUUGCGCAAUGGUCUAACGACUGACGCAGCGACGCCGCGUGUGGGAGGACGCCUUUCGGGGUGUAAACCACUGUUGCCCGGGACGAACUGCGCGAUUUGUCGCGCGUGACGGUACCGGGUGAGGAAGCACCGGCUAACUCCGUGCCAGCAGCCGCGGUAAUACGUAGGGGGCGAGCGUUGUCCGGAUUCAUUGGGCGUAAAGAGCUCGUAGGCGGCUCGGUAAGUCGUUUGUGAAAUCUCCAGGCUCAACUUGGAGCGUGCAGACGAUACUGCUGUGGCUUGAGUCCGGUAGGGGACCACGGAAUUCCUGGUGUAGCGGUGAAAUGCGCAGAUAUCAGGAGGAACACCGGUGGCGAAGGCGGUGGUCUGGGCCGGUACUGACGCUGAGGAGCGAAAGCGUGGGGAGCGAAC
rnacentral:rRNA from 1 species